ACAACAUCCAAUUAUAUAAUUAGAAAAAAAACAAUGGCCACAUUGACUUGCUCUUCCUUAAAAAAUUCAGCUUUUGUUCUAAUAUUGGUAUAUGCCUUGACCUUUUCAUUAUCACUAGUAAGUGCACGACCCGCCACUUUUUUACAGGAUUUUAAAAUCGCUUGGUCCGACUCUCACAUCAAACAACUCGAUGGCGGCAGGGGAAUUCAACUUAUUCUCGAUCAAAACUCAGGAUGUGGAUUUGCUUCGAGAAGCAAAUACCUGUUUGGACGUGUUAGCAUGAAGAUCAAGCUCGUUCCAGGUGACUCUGCAGGAACUGUUACCGCCUUUUACAUGAAUUCGGACACAGAUAACGUAAGAGACGAACUUGACUUCGAAUUCUUGGGAAACCGGACAGGGCAGCCGUACACUGUUCAAACGAAUGUUUAUGUCCACGGAAAAGGUGACAAGGAACAAAGGGUUAACCUUUGGUUCGAUCCAUCCGCUGAUUUUCACACAUACACCAUUUUUUGGAACCAUCAUCAAGCCGUGUUCUCAGUGGAUGGAAUACCCAUUAGAGUGUACAAGAACAACGAAGCAAAAGGAAUCCCAUUCCCCAAAUUUCAACCCAUGGGUGUCUACUCAACAUUGUGGGAAGCUGACGACUGGGCUACAAGAGGUGGCUUAGAGAAAAUAAAUUGGAGCAAAUCCCCAUUUUACGCAUACUACAAGGAUUUUGACAUUGAAGGAUGUGCAAUGCCAGGACCAGCAAAUUGUGCCUCCAACCCAAGUAAUUGGUGGGAAGGACCUGCUUAUCAACAACUGAGCCCAGUACAAGCAAGGCAAUAUCGUUGGGGGAACGGGGUUUCUCGAUUUGUCUGUGCAAUAAUCAUAGAUCAUGUGAUUCAUUCGAACCC
rnacentral:misc_RNA from 1 species